CAUAUAUAUAUAUAUAUAUAUAUAUAUUCUUAAAAAUGCAGCCACAGAGAAUGGGGCAAUAGCACAUGGAAAGUGGAGAUUUAACCCUUUUCUCCUGCACAACAUUUCCAACAAAAAUAGUUCCUCCCAAGCAGCAAUCGAUGCUGCUUUUUCUCAACUGAUCAUAAGCUAGGCAGUAAGGAUGCAACUGUUUGGUGUACAUUUGUUACAAUAUUACAUGUAUAUAUCCAGCUCACAAAGCGAUAAAUCUUUAUUCUCUUAUACAUAUUUUACUGUAUUUAUUUAUUAAACUGAAUAGGAAUUAUUAACUCAGUCUUAAGGUAUAUUUAAAUGCAGGCAAGUCCGACUUUUUAAAUGUAAUUCUCGUGCAUGCAAGUAUGUUUGGGAGUGGGGCAUUGGUCUCCAUAAUAAAAGAUGGAGGAGUGAAUUGAUGUUUCCUGUUCUGAAAGUAAAUAUUUUGCUUCAAGAGUUUGCCUUAAAUGUCUCCAGCUUUGCUUUGGCAUUUAUGUAGCAGCAGGAUACUAUUAUCCUACGAUAACAUUCUCUUGCACAGACAUGAUAGUUUAAUUAGAGCAAUAUGGAAAAAACUUUAGUAUCUUUGACAUGGGCUCUACAUGGUGAGUCAUUGAUACUAUAACUAAAGACAGAUUUUUGGCAUCAUAAUGUACAGUAGGACAAAGAUUUGGAAAUAUAAAAUUCUCUUCCACUUGAAUGGCAGCCUUCCAGGCAGGGGCAGCUACACAGAGUGGCAAGGUCAUGCAUUUGCCAGGGCCCUAAGAAUGUCCAAGUAACAUUAUCAUUCUCACUUGGCAUUGCACGCUCAGAAAAGUCGGAGGCAAUGUGAUAGAAUUCUCACUUUGUAUGCCCCAUCUUUCCUAGUUUAAGGCUCAGUGGAGAGGUGCAUUGCAGAGGACUCCCACACUCCUGGAACUUGGCAUUUCCCGCAAGUCUGAAUCUCAGCUUGUACAGGAGCAAAUUGGUGAGCGGAACCAAUAUUUCAGUCCCUUCAUCAGGGUUCCUAUUACAGCAAUUCAGUCAAGCUACAAAGAUGACAUUUCAUCAAUCGGAUUUGGCUACCAUCAUCACAGAUCAUCAUAUUCAGUUUGACAGUAGGAGAUCUAUUGAUUAAAGGCACAAAGGUAAUCUUGGUUUCCUGAAUUUAAACAGGGAACUGCAUGGCUUCCAGCUACUGAAUAUACAUUUUUUUCUGAAUUAGCCUGCUAGCUUCCUUUGCAAGUCACCCCUCCCUGAAGGUUUUUUUUUUAAAAAAAAGGUUCAUGGUUCAAUUUCUCUUCCCUGAUUUAAUAGACUAACCUGGCUUAAAAUUCACAAACGCAUAAACAGCUAAGAAUGUUGGUGUGUAGGAUUCAUUAAAGUCAUAAGAAGUUCACUUCUUGGACACACAUUUUAGAAUUAUCUGGACUCUAUUAGAAGAGCACCUUGGAAUCAGUCUAUCUUAACACCAGAUUUUCCAAAGUACUCAGAGUCACAGUGUCUUUUGCCAUAGAGCAUGUGAAGCCAAUCCAGACUUCCCAUUUCUCUUAAUUUUCCUUGUCUUAUCAUGUUCCUCUUGGUCGAAGAAAUAAGCAAGCAGCUGGAAGGGCAUUCUGAUGUUUCUGUUGUGACCAAAUGCAUUACCAGACAGACAUGUUAUUUCAGUACAAAAGGAUGCAGUGGACUCUGUACAGAAGCCUCUGCAACAUGUUCUUCUGCUAUUUUAGUCAUGGUCUUGUGGUCCACCUGAACAAAUACUAUAGACUGCUUUUUAAGAAUCAACAAGCUGUUGGAAAAUGGAUUCUUUUCUGGCAGAUUCGAAUCAACAUUUUAAAUUAAUGUUUUAAA